UAGUCAUAUGCUUGUUUCAAAGAUUAAGCCAUGCAAUUCUAAGAAUACAAGAGAUAUUCUUGAAAUCUGAAUACGGCUCCUUAAACCAGUUCUUAGCUACGCAGUUGUGACGGGACUUGUCCCACUAAAUGAAUAACCAGGGAAAAGCUCUGGCUAAUGCAUGCAACAAGGCGGGCGCGCAAGCGUCCGCUGCAAAUAUUGGCCUCUAAAUCAAUGCGUUUCGGCGCUUUCUGGUUGAAUCACAAUAUCUUGAAAACUGCACGACCUCGAGUCGGCGGCCUACUGCUCGCGGUACUGCUCUAUCAUGUUAUCGUUUGUAGGGUAUUGGCCUACAAAGACAGUGACGGAUACGGGGAAUUAGGGUUUGAUUCCGGAGAAGGAGCCUGAGAAACGGCUGCUACUUCUAAGGAAGGCAGCAGGCGCGUAAAUUAUCCAAUGACCAAAGGUUGAGAUAGUGACAAAAAAUAACAAAGAAGGCCAUCAAAUGGUUUUCUAUUGGAAUGAGAGAGAAUUAAAAUUCCCAUCGAGUAGCGAGU
rnacentral:rRNA from 1 species